rnacentral:rRNA from 1 species
UACGUAGGGUGCGAGCGUUAAUCGGAAUUACUGGGCGUAAAGCGUGCGCAGGCGGUUUCGUAAGACAGAUGUGAAAUCCCCGGGCUUAACCUGGGAACUGCGUUUGUGACUGCGAGACUCGAGUGUGGCAGAGGGGGGUGGAAUUCCACGUGUAGCAGUGAAAUGCGUAGAUAUGCGGAGGAACACCGAUGGCGAAGGCAAUCCCCUGGGCCUGCACUGACGCUCAUGCACGAAAGCGUGGGGAGCAAACAGG